rnacentral:rRNA from 1 species
GACGAACGCUGGCGGCGUGCUUAACACAUGCAAGUCGAGCGGUAAGGCCCUUUCGGGGGUACGACGAGCGGCGAACGGGUGAGUAACACGUGGGUGACCUGCCCUCAGCUCUGGGAUAAGCCUGGGAAACCGGGUCUAAUACCGGAUAUGACUCCAUGACGCAUGUUGUGGGGUGGAAAGCCUUGUGCGGCUGAGGAUGGGCCCGCGGCCUAUCAGCUUGUUGGUGGGGUGAUGGCCUACCAAGGCGACGACGGGUAGCCGGCCUGAGAGGGCGACCGGCCACACUGGGACUGAGACACGGCCCAGACUCCUACGGGAGGCAGCAGUGGGGAAUCUUGCGCAAUGGGCGAAAGCCUGACGCAGCAACGCCGCGUGAGGGAUGACGGCCUGU